GAGUUUGAUCAUGGCUCAGGAUGAACGCUGACAGAAUGCUUAACACAUGCAAGUCUACUUGAUCCUUCGGGUGAAGGUGGCGGACGGGUGAGUAACGCGUAAAGAACUUGCCUUACAGACUGGGACAACAUUUGGAAACGAAUGCUAAUACCGGAUAUUAUGAUUGGGUCGCAUGAUCUGGUUAUGAAAGCUAUAUGCGCUGUGAGAGAGCUUUGCGUCCCAUUAGUUAGUUGGUGAGGUAACGGCUCACCAAGACGAUGAUGGGUAGCCGGCCUGAGAGGGUGAACGGCCACAAGGGGACUGAGACACGGCCCUUACUCCUACGGGAGGCAGCAGUGGGGAAUAUUGGACAAUGGACCAAAAGUCUGAUCCAGCAAUUCUGUGUGCACGAUGAAGUUUUUCGGAAUGUAAAGUGCUUUCAGUUGGGAAGAAGUCAGUGACGGUACCAACAGAAGAAGCGACGGCUAAAUACGUGCCAGUAGCCGCGGUAAUACGUAUGUCGCAAGCGUUAUCCGGAUUUAUUGGGCGUAAAGCGCGUCUAGGCGGCUUAGUAAGUCUGAUGUGAAAAUGCGGGGCUCAACCCCGUAUUGCGUUGGAAACUGCUAAACUAGAGUACUGGAGAGGUAGGCGGAACUACAAGUGUAGAGGUGAAAUUCGUAGAUAUUUGUAGGAAUGCCGAUGGGGACGCCAGCCUACUGGACAGAUACUGACGCUAAAGCGCGAAAGCGUGGGUAGCAAACAGGAUUAGAUACCCUGGUAGUCCACGCCGU
rnacentral:rRNA from 1 species